rnacentral:lncRNA from 1 species
CCUGCCGGUGCGCUGUCGGGAACGGCGACCGACGCAGCUCGGGAAGGGGAGGAAGCGGACGGGGGUGGGGGGCGGUGCCGGCGCCGCGCAUUCCGGUUUUCCGUUUUAUAGACGUAGGCUGGGAAUUGGGUGGGGGCUGCUCCUCCAGAUGAAUCAGAAGCGGACUCGGGUCGCAACCCCAGUGUUCGGCCGCGUAAGACGAUAACUGCGAUUCGCCUCCAGGCGGAUGGACAGAUGCGGCAAGAUCAGGCCUGUGUAGAUGCCUCCUCCUUCCUGGUUGUACCUGGUCUCCUCUCUGCUGGACCAAGCAGAGUUGCUGGGGUCUCUGCAGCCACAUUCCCAGCCUGGCCCACAACCGGCUCUACCGAAACAGAUGAGUCUGCCCAAGGAAGUCAUGAAGUCGGGACUGGGUUUUCCUCCAUAGGCUGACUGGGUAAGGAAGAGAC